CUCUCUCAGUCCUUAUAGAUAGCUAAAAUUCCUUUUCUUUUUUAAUGAGCAUUUCAUACUAGUUUGACAUCAAUUGCUCUUUCUUACGCAAUUUUCUUUGUGUUUAUAUUCAUUGGUAAUAAACAAAUUAUUUGCAAACUUGAAGUUCAUGUCACUGAGGAUUCUGUUAGUUGUUGAUCUCUGAGGUUUCAAGUUUACUUAUUUCAUAUAAUAGUUCACUUUCCCUCAUUAGAAUAUUCGAUUUCAUUGCCUUUUAAUGCACUUUCUCUGUGUUAUUGGCUUAUCUGAGCCAUUAUUCAUUUAACUUUUUACUUGAAUGAUAAAGUGAGUUGUUUUAUUGUAUAUCUCACAAAUAUUUGUAAAUCAAUCUAAUAAUUUGAUGAUUCUCAAGAUUAGUGGUUGCUGGUAUUUCGUGUGACAUCUGUCCUAACUAAUUGGAGUUCUAUUUCUAUCUUAAUACAUUAUGCGCACAAGUUACAGGCAUAGAUUGACCUUGAUUUGCUUCAUUUAUCCCUCAGGAAAUAUGGAACUGGCCAGCACUUCAAAUGCUAGUAGCAUUUUGUGGUUCUUCAGGGAUAGAGGUUUUGAUGAUAAGAGCAUUCAUGAAUUGUUUAGAAAGUGCAAGCGCCUCGAGGACAUUCAAAAGGAAAGAGCAUCUGAAAAUUGGUCUUACCUGAAAAGCAUUGGCAUU
rnacentral:misc_RNA from 1 species